GUAGUCUGCAACCCGGCCUACAUGAAGCUGGAAUCGCUAGUAAUCGCGGAUCAGAAUGCCGCGGUGAAUACGUUCCCGGGUCUUGUACACACCGCCCGUCACACCAUGGGAGUCGGAAAUGCCUGAAGUCUGUGACCCAACCUCAGGGAGGGAGCAGCCGAAGGCAGGUCGGAUGACUGGGGUGAAGUCGUAACAAGGUAAC
rnacentral:rRNA from 1 species